rnacentral:tRNA from 1 species
GGGCUCAUAGCUCAGCUGGUUAGAGCACCUGACUCAUAAUCAGGGGGUCCGAGGUUCGAGCCCUCGUGGGCCCACCC